AUUGAACGCUGGCGGCAGGCCUAACACAUGCAAGUCGAGCGGAGCGGCGGACGGGUGAGUAAGGCCUAGGAAUCUGCCUGGUAGUGGGGGAGAACGUCCGGAAACGGACGCUAAGACCGCAUAAUAGCAGGUGAGCCUAGGUCGGCUUAGCUGGUGGGUGGGGUAAAGGCCUACCAAGGCGACGAUCCGUAGCUGGGCUGAGAGGAUGAUCAGUCACACUGGGACUGAGACACGGCCCAGACUCCUACGGGAGGCAGCAGUGGGGAAUAUUGGACAAUGGGCGAAAUCCUGAUCCAGCCAUGCCGCGUGUGUGAAGAAGGUCUUCGGAUUGUAAAGCACUUUUAGUUGGGAGGCGUUACCUACAGAAUAAGCACUGGCUAACUACGUGCCAGCAGCCGCGGUAAUUC
rnacentral:rRNA from 1 species